rnacentral:rRNA from 1 species
AGUGAACGCUGGCGGCAGGCCUAACACAUGCAAGUCGAGCGGCAGCGCGGGUGUAGCAAUACAUCUGGCGGCGAGCGGCGGACGGGUGAGGAAUACAUCGGAAUUUACCCAAUCGUGGGGGAUAACGUAGGGAAACUUACGCUAAUACCGCAUGAACUGGAGACAGCAAAGCGGCGGACCUUCGGGCGUCGCGCGGUUGGAUGAGCCGAUGUCGGAUUAGCUAGUGGCGGGGGUAAAGGCCCACCCAAGGCGACGAUCCGUAGCUGGUCUGAGAGGAUGAUCAGCCACACUGGAACUGAGACACGGUCCAGACUCCUACGGGAGGCAGCAGUGGGGAAUAUUGGACAAUGGGCGCAAGCCUGAUCCAGCCAUGCCGCGUGUGUGAAGAAGGCCUUCGG